ACUAUUUAUCUGUACAUACGUACUGCUGCACUCGCAUUUUCUCCACUCAAAAAGAACGCACGAAGCAUAAGUACAUAAUCCCGUGAUAUGAAUUGAUAUGAUAUUGUACCAGGAAAAACGUAAACAAACGCGACGAAAAAAAGCAAGUUUUCACUUCCGCUAACAAUUAGGCACUGUUUGUCCGUUGUCGCAACGCGUUCGGCGUUGGGGUGCGAACUGCGAACUGCGAACUGCGACGCGGGCGCAGGCCACAGAGGGAAAGGGGGUGGCGGGGUGAAGGAUGGCGAGCUUCGACGCGAGUUUGCCGGAAUUUAUCAAUGGAGCUGUCCAGCGGACCUAUUCGAAAUCGUACGCUAGAAAAUUACAACACAAUACCUAGUGUGGGUCAUUGACUAAGAAUAGGUUUAACAAUUUUUACAUAUUUAUGUGGACAAUUUUGGGACAUUUCUGUUUGUUAGUGUUUUUAAUUAUUUCUUACACAAAUAUGAUUGGUUAAAGGUACUUAACACCCUGUAAAAUUUUAUGUACUGAUUAAAAAAUAGUGGUGUAUUAUUGAGAAAGAGACAGACAGA